GGCUGCAACUCGCCUACACGAAGUUGGAAUUGCUAGUAAUCGUGGAUCAGCAUGCCACGGUGAAUACGUUCCCGGGUCUUGUACACACCGCCCGUCACACCAUGGGAGCUGGUAACACCCGAAGUCAGUAGUCUAACCGCAAGGAGGACGCUGCCGAAGGUGGGAUUAGCGACUGGGGUGAAGUCGUAACAAGGUAGC
rnacentral:rRNA from 1 species